AUGGGCAUUUUUAUGUCAAUAGAUUGGAAUGUUUCUCUCCUCACUGGGAAAAGCUCCUUUGGUCUCAGUGAACUCAGAGGUGGAGAAAGUCAUAAGAAUCAGGGAGCCUGCCCCAAAUUGCCUCCUAUGAUAACUUUCCACAAAGACUGGAGGGGAGGCUUCAAACAUCUUCCUGCAGUGUCCAGCAAGACAGCGAGGCAGACUCCCUUUCUCCUGCCAAAGCCACGUGGAGCCAGACAGAACCACAAGCAUACCUGUGGUGCUUGGAGGCCCAAGUAGAAACUUGAAUGCUCACGGCUGCAUUGGCAGCUUCUACUUGCCUGCCUGGAUCACCGUUCCUCAUGAGAACUUGGAAAAGCAGGACUAUCAUUCUUGCUUGACAGACGAAGAAACCAAGCCUCAGAAAAAGCUGGCAAUGAGAAUAGAAGAAUUGCAAACAAUGUAGCAGGCCCUUGCCAAGAUUUAAAUACAGAAGAAACAUUCAAAAGGACGGUAUCAAAUUAUCUGCAAAGAUGAAGAAAGUAAUGACUUACGUUCUCCAUCCUCUGGCUGGGUGACUCACCAAAGUGGAAAAUGAAGCACUUGGAGAUUAAAGGUACCCCCAGAAAGAGGGGGAAAGGGAUGGGCUCUGGAGAAGCCAAUCCAGUUACAAGUUAACAUGCCACAGGAACAUCUGUGAUGGAAGGUGGCAGCUAAAUGCUUCGUGUCUCUUUGUGUUCUCCAGAAUCUUCAAGUAAGAAAGUCCAGCCCUGCCUCAGCAUUCUUCAUCUGGACCACAGACGUGUUAAAAAUCACCUACUGCGUGCAGGGUAUCAUGUGAGGAUAUGCAGGUGAUAAUUGUUGUGCAUGCACACUUAGUUAGAACACAGUGAAAAUAGGUGCCCCUGACCACUCUACUUAAAAAGGCUGCUCUCUGUAGUCUCUAUUUUUGUAAUGGUCAUAUUGAUAUAUAAUUCACACAUUAUACAAUCUAUCCACUUGUAUUUUGUUAUAUGUAUGUGUUAACUUCUUUAAAGUACAGGCUCCAUGAAGAUAACAACCAGGUGUCUUUUGUUCAUCAGUGGACACCCAGCAGCUAUCAUAACGCACAAUGCAGCCACUCAGCAAUGAUGCGGAAUGGGGAAGGAAAGUGCUGGGAAGAGAAGGGCGUGGUCCCUUUAAAUGAUAGGGAAGCGGGGAAGAGCAUGGUCCCUGGCUAGGGCUCCAGCCCUGGGCCUGUGCCCAUGGACCUAGGUGAAAACAGGCAUUUUUGUUUUCCUGCCCAAAUGUUGCAUUUCCCAAGACCACCCUGGCCUGCCACUCCCCCAUCCUGUGCCUAUAAAAUCCCUGAGACGCUAGCAGCCAGACACACAGGAGGCUGGACGUGGAGAGGAGCAUUUCAGCAGAGGCACACGUGGGCGGCUGGACAUUGAGAGGAACGCACCGACAGGCACCAGCACACCAGCAGGUCACCGACUGGCAGAACGACGUGGAGUUUGGCCGGGGCAGUUGGAGGAGAGCCCGGGCGCCAAGCAGCCCGACUCCAGGG
rnacentral:lncRNA from 10 species